rnacentral:rRNA from 1 species
UCGGGAAUUUUGGACAAUGGCCGAAAGGCUGAUCCAGCGACGCCGCGUGCGGGAAGACGGCUUUCGGGUUGUAAACCGCUUUUCACUAGGAGGCCCAGGUUUUUGUGCAUUUUUUGUGCACAAAAAUCUGGGAUACAGUACUAGUGGAAUAAGUCACGGCUAACUACGUGCCAGCAGCCGCGGUAAUACGUAGGUGGCAAACGUUAUCCGGAAUUACUGGGUGUAAAGCGUUCGUAGGUGUUUUGGUAGGUCCUUGAUUAAAUACGUAAGCUCAACUUACGGAAGGUUGAGGAAACCACCAGAAUAGAAGGGUAUCGAGGUAAGUGGAAUUUGUGGUGUAGCAGUGAAAUGCGUUGAUAUCACAAGGAACACCAAUGGCGAAGGCAGCUUACUAGGUAUUACUUGACACUGAGGAACGAAAGCGUGGGUAGCAAACGGG